GCUGCCUGGAACAAAAUAACACCACGCUGGGGCCAAGAACUCUUCUUGCACAUCUUGCUCACUCAUUUCCCACGCCCUCUUCCUAAGCCUUUAGCUGGUCAGAGUCCUUGCUCUCGUCAAUCUCAGCAGUGAAAGCAGUGCAUCCAUGGCACACGUGUGUGCAUCUUGGUGUUUUGCGUCACCCACAGCUGGUCCUGCGCCUGGCACAGGGAGACACCAGAAAGUAUGUGAUGAAUGGAGCACUUCUCAUGAAAAUCACAAAAUGAGCCAAGACCGAGAUGGAAGUGUUCUUGGAGAUCAGCACUGUUUCUAUAAUGAGGACUUCAUUCCAGAACGAGGGCACGCUUCACUUGGGGUUUCACAGCCAAAAGACCCCGGGGACAACCUGAAUGUUGAGCAGAAGAAUGGACACGUUAUGGUACAUGUCCCAGUGAAAAACUAUACAGCAAUAAAAAUGAAGCAGUAUCACAUGACACAAAGCUGAGUCUCACCGAAGAAGAGAGACACAAAAGGAACACAGUGUGCAUGAUUGCAUUUUAGAAACUUCAGAACGCAUCUCUAAUGUUGGAAGCCAGGACUGUAGUAAACUUUGGGGAGUAGAAGGAUUGGCAAUGGGCUUAAAACAGGGGCUUUUAAGGUGCUGAUGAUGUUCUGUUUCUUGACCUGGGUUACCAAUGUGCUUACUUUGUAAAAUUCAUCUGAUGGUACACUUAUGAUUUGUGUACUCUUUGUAUGUGAACUAUGCUUUAAAAAAACACAUUUAUUUUUUA